rnacentral:rRNA from 1 species
GACGAACGCUGGCGGCGUGCUUAACACAUGCAAGUCGAACGGAAAGGCCCUGCUUUUGUGGGGUGCUCGAGUGGCGAACGGGUGAGUAACAAGUGAGUAACCUGCCCUUGACUUUGGGAUAACUUCAGGAAACUGGGGCUAAUACCGGAUAGGAGCUCCGGCUGCAUGGUGGGGGUUGGAAAGUUUCGGCGGUUGGGGAUGGACUCGCGGCUUAUCAGCUUGUUGGUGGGGUAGUGGCUUACCAAGGCUUUGACGGGUAGCCGGCCUGAGAGGGUGACCGGCCACAUUGGGACUGAGAUACGGCCCAGACUCCUACGGGAGGCAGCAGUGGGGAAUAUUGCACAAUGGGCGGAAGCCUGAUGCAGCAACGCCGCGUGCGGGAUGACGGCCUUCGGGUUGUAAACCGCUUUCGCCUGUGACGAAGCGUGAGUGACGGUAAUGGGUAAAGAAGCACCGGCUAACUACGUG